AAAUGGUUAAGACUAUAACUCCUUUGUGUUAUUAUAAUAUCAUAAUGAUUCCAACUAAAUAACAGCUAUUUUUAAAUGGUUAAGACUAUAACUCCUUUGUGUUAUUAUAAUAUCAUAAUGAUUCCAACUAAAUAGCAGCUAUUUGUAAAUGGUUAAGACUAUAACUCCUUUGUGUUAUUAUAAUAUCAUAAUGAUUCUGACUAAAUAACAGCUAUUUGUAAAUGGUUAAGACUAUAACUCCUUUGUGUUAUUAUAAUAUCAUAAUGAUUCCAACUAAAUAGCAGCUAUUUGUAAAUGGUUAAGACUAUAACGCCUUUGUGUUAUUAUAAUAUCAUAAUGAUUCCAACUAAAUAACAGCUAUUUUUAAAUGGUUAAGACUAUAACUCCUUUGUGUUAUUAUAAUAUCAUAAUGAUUCCAAAUAAAUAACAGCUAUUUGUAAAUGGUUAAGACUAUAACUCCUUUGUGUUAUUAUAAUAUCAUAAUGAUUCCAACUAAAUAGCAGCUAUUUGUAAAUGGUUAAGACUAUAACUCCUUUGUGUUAUUAUAAUAUCAUAAUGAUUCCAACUAAAUAACAGCUAUUUUUAGUCGGACCCUUUUUUUUACAGCAUAUAAACACAUAACAUAUUGUAAGUAUUAUAAUAAGAUAUUAUCCAGAUCAUCUGACAUAAAAAGAAAAUGGGACAGUUUGAUGAAAAAGCUUUAAAUAAAGUUUAAAAUCCAGGCAUGUCACAUGACUACGCAAAACAGCGCCCUAGGGCUCAUUAUUCUUAUAACAAGUAAUGAAGCAUUAUACCCACUGGCUGUAAGCAGUGUUACCGUUCAUGGUUUACACACACAUGAUAUGUUGGUUAACAAAGUACCUGAUAAUGGUUUAUUAGCGUGUAUAAACAGACCUUCACAUGAAUAGUUUAUCAGAUCAAUUGAAGAAAUGUUGGGAAUGACCAAAAAAUGUUAUCAGAAAGAUUUGAAUAAGGGCAAUUCAGACUGGUUGAUAAUCUAAACCAGACUUGUUUCUAUGAUAAAGGAUGUGGUUUGAGAUCAACUUGCAACAGAUAUAACAGUGGUUCAGAUCACGAAUAGAAGGAGUGCUUAUACUGUGCAAGAUAGUGGCUAUAUUGUACAGAAGGGUUAUUCUUUGGGAUAGCCAUAGGAGAAUGCGCCUGUGUAGAUGAAUCCAAAGAUAAAGCCUAUCAUAGAUUAUCUAUUAAUCACAAUAAUUACACAUUCCCCUCUCAGGGUUAAACCUGAGAGACUGGAGAGAGUUGGUUGGUGUGCCUGUGUUCAUUUUUCUGUCUGUGUGUUUGUGUCUGUAUGUGUGCCUGUGUUCAUUUUUCUGUCUGUGUGUUUGUGUCUGUAUGUGUGCCUGUGUUCAUUUUUCUGUCUGUGUGUUUGUGUCUGUAUGUGUGCCUGUGUUAAUUUUUCUGUCUGUGUGUUUGUGUCUGUAUGUGUGCCUGUGAGAAAUAGGAGAAAGAAAGGGAGAGAACUAGAGAGAGAGAGAGAGAGAAAGAGAGUAGGAGAGAAAGACAAAGAGAGAGAGAGAGAGAAAUAAAAAAAGAGAACAAAGAGAAUCGUUCUCCAUCUUUCUCUUGACUCUAAGCAGGGGGAUUUCCAUGGCUCCUCUCGGUGUUGAUGAACCUGGCUUGACCAGAAUAUGUCUAAGGAGACACUGUGUGACUUCAGACGCAGUAAGAGGAUGGAAAGCCUUCCCUCUUCCUCCACAUCACAUAGGAAACAGGCCAUAUCUGAAAUGGCACCUUAGUCCCUAUACAGUGCACCACUUUUGGCCAGAGCCUUUAGAGUGCACUACAUAGGAAACAGGCUGGACUCUGGCCAGAAGUAGGGGACUGCAUGGGGAAUAGGGAGCGCUCUAGGUAAAAGUAGUGCACUAUGAAGUGAAUAGGGUGCGCUCUGGCUAAAAGUAGUGCACUACCAAAGGAAUGGGGUGCUAUGAGGUUAGAGGAGACUGUAAGCGACUGUGGCGACUGUUGGCAUACACUAGUGACAUAUCCCUCUUGGAUUAAUUAGGUUAGUCCUGAGUAGUGAUUAAUCCACAUAGCGUGGUGGGAGUGUUUAAUCCUAAAGCUCCUUUAACCUGGACAGGGAGGCGCCCUCACAGAUGGCCAAGUAGACAGCACUGUCUCUCCUACCUGCUCAUUAUCUAAUAAACUAGCUACGCAGCUGGGCCGUGUGUGUGUGUGUGUGUGUGUGUGUGUGUGUGUGUGUGUGUGUGUGUGUGUGUGUGUCCGUAUGUGUGAGCAUACAUUGAGAGAGAGAUAGAUAGAGACAGUGAAAGAGAGAGGGAGAGAGACAGAGAGAGCAUGUCAUUAAAAAUAGUGAGAAAGAUAGACAGACUCUUGGCUUCUCUGGUCCCGAUGUUACAGUGUGCAUAUGUUAACAGCAGGUAUAUGUAAAGUGUCACCAGCAUUUGCAGCAGGCACACAUCUCUUCAAGUGGCCAAGUAUUGCACAUGCUGCAGCAAAUCAUCCUUCAGACCCAAUUGCCGCUUCUGUUUGUUGCCAGCCUACUGGAAUGUUCAGACCCAGACGAUCAAGUAAAGCAGCUCAAAGACUGAUUGCUUUCCGUCUAACGAGAGAAUAAUGUGUCGUCUUAAUGACAUGACCAGUGAUGUUAUUAGCUAAAUGAAUGAUGCUCUAUUCUCUGGCAGGGCCUUGAGAAGGAUGUUCAACCUGUUUUAUAUGGCGGAUCUAAUGUGUCACUAUGUGUAGAUAUAUAAAAGACUCUUAUUUAAUGUGUGGUAUAAAGUCUCACUUAUUUCAUUGGAAUAGCAACUGCAGUAAAUGGAGGGAGAUCAUUUAUUGAGCUAACCCAAACCCUGUAAAAUGUUCAGCACAUCAGUGUUACUGAGACACAGCGGGGCAGGUAGCCUUGUGGUUAGAGCGUUGGACAAGUAACCGAAAGGUUGCAAGAUUGAAUCCCUGAGCUGACAAGGUACAAAUGUCGUUCUGCCCCUGAACAAGGCAGUUAACCCACUGUUCCUAGGCUGUCAUUGAAAAUAAGAAUUUGUUCUUAACUAACUUGCCUAGUUUAAGAAAGGUAAAAUGAAAAACAACCUGGAUAGAGUUUGGACAUUAGCUCCAUCCAUGGUUUUUCAAAUGGUCCAAAUUGACAAUAAAUUGCCCAGUGUUCGACUCUGAGCCCUGAUCUCUCUGCUUGCAGACCAUCAUGUCUUCUUCUCGUGUACAAAGGGCCUUAAUGUAAUUACCCUUCACUUAAAUGGGACGCUGAGAAAGGUUCCCUGCUGUAAUUCUUUGAGUGUGGGCUCCAACAGAGUGAUUCUACGUCUGAGCUGUCCUGAUUGCAGAGCGAGAGAGCACUGUGAGGAUACUCUAAGCUGCUGCUGCCAGACAAGCCCACUUGUUAGUCCAAGAACAAAAACCUCCGUCCAAAAUGUUCAUCCUCAGGAUCCACUCCACUUCAUAUCACAAAACUGUAGUAGUCAUUUGCCACAAUUUGAUUGAACUGGUUUUAUUGUUCAUAGCUUUGUUAUUAUACUUAUGCUAAACAUUUCAUUAUAUUCUACUGAACCAUUUACUUUAUGUUCGUAUUCUUAUCUUGUAUUAUUUCUUAUUCUUGUUGCAUUGUCCAGAAGGAACCUGCAAGUAAGCAUUUCAUUGGACCCUAAAUAAAGAUCUUUAGGGUUACGGUAUAUUUUGGAGUGUUAAAAUCCAGACAGAAAAUAUUUACACAAGAAGCAACCUAAUAUCACACAGUCAACCUCUCAUUUCAUUUAGUAAGUUCACCAUUCUGCCAUUCUCACUGUGUAUCCUGUACAUACGACUAAUAAAACUUGAAACUUGGUCACACUUAUUCUAGUGCAGUGCAAGGAUCCUUUUGUGGCUGCCUGCGCAAUCUUGUCUCGUAUACCUGUUGUUUCAGCUCACAGACUACCCACAAGUGCUUUACAGCACAGAUCAUCAACUCUCCUCACACUAUCCGAUUAUUGACUUCCACACUGGCCUGUGCAGAGAGUUGAGUAGCAUGAUGCACAACAGUACCCAUAAUGCUCUGCACCAAUAGCCUUCAAGUAGAACUGCAGCAAGGGAAGGGUGUUCCAGGGAGUGGCGGAAACUGCGGAAUGGGGUCUGUAAACUCCUGCUACCGCGUGUUCUGGAGCAAAGAUGCUGGCACAAAGGACACUCCUGGCCCAGUACACGCUACUCGGUACCAGUAUGCUCUGCCCGGCAUCAUGGGAGUCACCAGGCAAGGUGCAAAGGAGCCAUCGACAUUGUCUGCUCAACCUGAACAGCCCUAGUGCAGAACCCUUUGUUCACACACACACACACACACACACACACACACACACACACACACACACACACACACACACACACACACACACACACAUACACACACACACACACACACACACACACACAGUUCACACCACAUGUCUAACUAACCAGUCCACCUUCUUUUUCUUUUUUUUUUUACCUUUAUUUAACCAGGCAAGUCAGUUAAGAACAAAUUCUUAUUUUCAAUGACGGCCUAGGAACAGUGGGUUAACUGCCUGUUCAGGGGCAGAUCGACAGAUUUGUACCUUGUCAGCUCAGGGAUUCGAACUUGCAACCUUUCGGUUUUUAAGAAGGCUCUGGCCCCAGACGCCUGUGUGUGUGUGUGUGUGUGUGUGUGUGUGUGUGUGUGUGUGUGUGUGUGUGUGUGUGUGUGUGUGUGUGUGUGUGUGUGUGUGUGUGUGUGUGUGUGUGUGUGUGUGUGUGUGUGUGUGUGUGUGUGCGUGCCUGUGUGUGUGUGUGUGUGUGUGUGCGUGCCUGUGUGUGUGUGUGCCUGCGCGCACAUGCAUGUCCGCCUGCUCUGGUGCAGGGCCAGGGAAGCAACGUGAGCAUGCUGUGGCUGUGAGGCUGAGCGAGACACAAUCCAACAAUGGAGCUGUAGCCAGACAGCUCUGUCUCUCUGCACUGCAACGCUUCAGAUCGGGGCGAGACGCCUCAGCGCUGCUGUUUGCUUACCAAGCUGAACAAAUAAAACUGUUUGUCACAGGGCUGAGGUGGAGGCUCGAAAUAGGUUUCCUUUUUUAUACAAGGAGAGCGCUCUAGCAAGAACAGACGAGCAAAGAUUUCUAUUAGAAACCCAGUUUAGUCCGUCGAGUGACCCAGAAAAACCCUCAAAGACGAAACAGUUACCUGAACUAGACCUUUACAGUGCAAAUCUACACCUUAUAGCACUAUAACCCCAACACAGUGUUGCAGCAAAAAGAAAUGCUACAUUUCACACAUUUCACUCUCCCCUCGAACCACACUGAACCAUUGUGUGUGAAUCAACAAUGCAGAUUUAAAACAUGCUAGACUUUCUCUGUUAAUAAGUUAGUGGUGAGAAUGUCUGACCCAGGGCUGAGCUAUGUGUGCCACAUGGUACAUGGAUGAGGCUGCUUGUUACCCAGGAUUGCCCACACUGCAGUGCGCUACCAGUUAACGACACACCAGACCAGAGCAACACACACACACACACACACACACACACACACACACACACACACACACACACACACACACACACACACACACACACACACACACACACACACACACACACACACGCAUCUCACAGGGGCAGCUGCUGUUAUUGCAUCUAUGCUAUAGUUAGUUAUAGUAGUACAGAAGAAAUAAUCACACGUUUAAACACGUCGGCCGGUGUAGGGAUAUUAGACUGAGGGUUACUGUUCUGGAGCACUAAGUCCUUACGCAUACUGUCACACUGGUGAGGAGUCCUGAAAGGGUGCCAUUUUACACAGCCAGCACAAAGAGGUUAGCAGUGAGAGGAGGAACGUACUCCUGCAGCGCAGCAAUGAGGGGAUGGGCCAGUGCAGCAAUGAGGGGAUGGGCCAGUGCAGCAAUGAGGGGAUGGGCCGAGGCUAUAAUGGAGUCGCUGUUCUGAAACACAGUUUAUCUACCUUCCAGCAUGGCUCACAGAGGGAGGGAGAAUCCACAGUGCUUUUAUUAGCAUGAUGCUAGCCUAAUCACAGCAAGGAUUGUUGACAAUAGAUCAUGUUAAUGAGGACUGUAAAUAGUCAAGAGCAGAAUGCAAACAAAACAUGUAUGUUAGCCCUAAGCAUGUUAGCCCCGUUGCUAUCAGAAGCUGGGUGUGAGCUGUUCAGUUUGCUGUCCCUAAAGCAAGUUCAAACCCAACAGACUUGCAGUUAUUUUAAGUAGUUUAGCAGAUACACUAGAAUUUGCUAGCUGCUCCGUUAAAAAAGGUUACACUACAUCCGUGACAUGGUAAUAACUGCUAACAUACAGACUCAAUGUGACAUGGUAAUAACUGCUAACAUACAGGCUCAAUGUGACAUGGUAAUAACUGCUAACAUACAGGCUCUCUGAUAUACAAACCCCUACGAACGUACUGUCUACGCACACGCUACCUUGUGUGUGUAUGUGUGUGUGCACGCAUGUGUGCAUGAAGACGAGGGCUCAGUGAGGUCAAACACAAGUAUACCGAGCUGUUAUACCUUCACGCUCUCCACAGUACUUUGUGCUGCUCUCAAGACAGAAUAAGACAUGGACAGAAACAGAAAGAAACCACUUUCCCAGUUGUCAGAGGAAAGACAAAGGAAUAACAGAACAGACUGGGCCAGUGACUAGUUUUAUUUUUUUGUGGGCCUCAGAGACAUGUCCAGGAUUGGUAACAUUAGCUUAAACGUUCACAUGUCCAGGAUUGGUAACGUUAGCUUAAACGUUCACAUGUCCAGGAUUGGUAACGUUAGCUUAAACGUUCACAUGUCCAGGAUUGGUAACGUUAGCUUAAACGUUCACAUGUCCAGGAUUGGUAACGUUAGCUUAAACUCCAGGAUUAGUAAUGUUAGCUUGGUAACGCAAGCUCCCCCCUCCAUCUUCCACCCCACCACAAAGAUUCCUCAGCUGAUUUCAACCCACCAUUGUGUCACAUGACCCUCGAGCCGGCAUUCCUUCAACCCCCCCCCACACACACUGCCGCCUGAUUCCAGCUAACCUUUUCCCCCUUUUCUUUCCAGACGGUUUUCCUUCUCCGACAAUAUAGUGUCUAUGUACGUUUGACAGUCUGAAACGCCUUUGUCUUGCAGAGAGAGCCACGGACGGGACGACAGCGCACCACUCCCAGCUCCCGAGAGCCUAACCCGUGGACAUGAGAGCACAACGUCACA
rnacentral:lncRNA from 1 species